rnacentral:rRNA from 1 species
GGACUACCAGGGUAUCUAAUCCUGUUUGCUACCCACGCUUUCGCGUCUCAGCGUCAGUUAUCGUCCAGAUGGCCGCCUUCGCCACAGGUGUUCCUCCCGAUAUCUACGAAUUUCACCUCUACACCGGGAAUUCCGCCAUCCCCUCCGACACUCAAGCGGUACAGUAUCGGAUGCACUUCCUUGGUUAAGCCAAGGGCUUUCACGUCCGACUUAUAUCGCAGCCUACACGCGCUUUACGCCCAGUAAUUCCGAACAACGCUUGCACCCUCUGUAUUACCGCGGCUGCUGGCAC